AUGCCAGUCGCGGGUUGUCCCAAGCUCAACGUAGGUUCGCAAGAGAAAAAGAGGGGGUACCUUGUCUGUCGGUCGAAGAAGGCAACAAACAAGUGGAAGCAACUGAUGCUUUGGUCAUUCUACUCCUUGAUGCCAGUCUAUGCUUGCUGUCAUGCCGGCAAAAGCGGGGGUUUCGGCCGGCUUUACCUACUAUUGGAUUUGAACCAAUGA
rnacentral:rRNA from 1 species